AGGCCAUUUGCUCUUUUCGCAAUAAAAGUAAUAUAGAAUGUUGAAAGAUGAACAAAAUGAUUAGAAGCAGCAUUAAAAGAAAAACCCUUAUGUGUAACAGGAAGGAGAGUGGCAUGCAUGACCUCCCGCAGGAGAAGCUGUGCUACUUUAUAAUUCAGCAGUGUGGCUUUUCAGAGGCAUAGACCAUGGUCUGAUCAUCUCCUUCUGAUUAUUAGACCUUUGUGGAGGCUCUGUGUGCUGCCAGGCUGUAAUUAUAAGAAGCCCCAGAGAUAGCUUUUACAUGUCAAUGCCUUUCACAGAGCAGUUCUGGCAAAUAUGCAUAGGGAGAAUGAGCAAAAAAAAAAACGGAUUGAACAGAACCAACUGAAGAUAAAGAAGGGAUAAAUUAAUGGACAAAACAGUUCAGGAACCAACCGCACCAAAAUAGUGGGCGGGCAUUGUAGCACUCUAUAGGAACUACCAGUGACGUUGGCAUCAAACUGAGAGGUGCGUCACGCUCCCCAUCUACUAAGAGAGAUUUACGUUUAAAAACAACACGAGUUGGCCAAAGUGCUUUAUAUUAGUCAGUCUAUUAUUAAUUAGUUGUUCUUUAGGCUGCUGAUUUUUGUUAAUGGUAUUUAGCUGCAACAGGAUGUUUUGCAAAAAGUCAGAAUAAAUAUGUUUGAUGUCUAUGUUUGACUUUUUUUUUUUUACAUAUUUGAAUGGAAUCUGGGAAUCGAUAAGCAGAAUGAGAAUUGUACUCUAAAUCUCUAAA